UACGAAGGGUGCAAGCGUUACUCGGAAUUACUGGGCGUAAAGCGUGCGUAGGUGGUUUGUUAAGUCUGAUGUGAAAGCCCUGGGCUCAACCUGGGAAUUGCAUUGGAUACUGGCAGGCUAGAGUGCGGUAGAGGAUGGCGGAAUUCCCGGUGUAGCAGUGAAAUGCGUAGAUAUUGGGAGGAACACCAGUGGCGAAGGCGGCUCACUGGACCGGAACUGACGCUGAGGCGCGAAAGCGUGGGGAGCAAACGGG
rnacentral:rRNA from 1 species